AAGUUCUAGGUUGUUACACUGUCCCCAUACCUCGUCCGGUAUGAGCGCCAAAAAUACCAAUCCUUGAUACCCCGUAUGGUAUGAGGAUGAAAUGGGCCGUUCCCAUAUCCCGUUUGGUGUGAGUGCCAAAAAUACCAAUCCUCGAUACCUCAUCCGGCACUAAGGCGACAUUCACAGUAGGAUUCCCUAUGUACCCAGUCCGUCCACAU
rnacentral:lncRNA from 1 species